rnacentral:rRNA from 1 species
AUUGAACGCUGGCGGCAGGCCUAACACAUGCAAGUCGAGCGGUAACAGGGGAAGCUUGCUUCUCGCUGACGAGCGGCGGACGGGUGAGUAAUGUAUGGGGAUCUGCCCGAUAGAGGGGGAUAACCACUGGAAACGGUGGCUAAUACCGCAUAAUCUCUUAGGAGCAAAGCAGGGGAACUUCGGUCCUUGCGCUAUCGGAUGAACCCAUAUGGGAUUAGCUAGUAGGUGGGGUAAUGGCUCACCUAGGCGACGAUCCCUAGCUGGUCUGAGAGGAUGAUCA